rnacentral:tRNA from 1 species
NGGGGUAUAGCUCAGUGGUAGAGUGUCUGCAUAGCAUGCACGAGGUCCUGGGUUCAGUCCUUGGUACCUCCA